rnacentral:rRNA from 1 species
CUCUGACGCCCAACAGCUAGCUUAACCAAACACCUCAACACUUACAUAUUAAUUAUUAAAUACAUAAAAGUAUAAACAAACCAUUUUUCCACUUUAGUAUGGGCGACAGAAAAAGUUAAUCCAACGCAAUAGAAAAAGUACCGCAAGGGAACGCUGAAAGAGAAAUGAAAUAACUCAGUCAAGCAUAAAAAAGCAGGGAUAAACUCCCGUACCUUUUGCAUCAUGAAUUAGCUAGAGUCCGCCAAGCAAAAAGCAUUUUAGUUUGAAAACCCGAAACUAAGGGAGCUACUCCAAGACAGCCUAAUAAAUAGGGCCAACCCGUCUCUGUGGCAAUAGAGUGGGAAGAGCUUUGAGUAGAGGUGAUAAGCCUACCGAACUUAGUUAUAGCUGGUUACCUGGAAAUUGAAUAGAAGUUCAGCCUCUUGGAUUCUUUCUUCCCCUUUGGUUACACCUAAACAAGAUGAAAAGAAGCUAAGAGAGUUAGUCAAAGGGGGUUCAGCCCCUUUGAAAAAAGAAACAACUUUUUGGAAUGGGUAAGGAUCAUACCCCUCAAGGUAGAAUGUUUAGGUGGGCCUAAAAGCAGCCACCCUAGAAAAAAGCGUUAAAGCUUAAACAUAAAACCUCAAACCUUAGAUCCCGACUUUUUUCUCCUACCCCUUCCUCCACCCACCAGGUUUUCCCACAUACCCUGGGAGUAAUUAUGCUAAUAUGAGUAAUAAGAGGGAUAAGACCCUCUCCCCGCCCAAGUGUAACCCGGAACGGACACCCCACCGGCCAUUAACGGCCCCCUAGCUGAGGGAACUAGACCUAAAAGAGAAAACUAGAAAAUCACCUAAACUAAACCCGUUAACCCCACACUGGAGCGCCCCCGUGGAAAGACUAAAAGAAAAAGAAGGAACUCGGCAAAUAUUUCCUAGCCUCGCCUGUUUACCAAAAACAUCGCCUCUUGUUAAUCAACCAUAAGAGGUCCCGCCUGCCCUGUGACUAUAUGUUUAACGGCCGCGGUAUCUUGACCGUGCGAAGGUAGCGCAAUCAC